rfam:Brassica oleracea var. oleracea cultivar TO1000 chromosome C7, whole genome shotgun sequence
GGAAUAUAAGAACUCGUCUAUUAAAUUUUAACUAAAAAAGCUAAGAACCGGUUCUUAAAUAAGAUAUUUAAGAACCGGUUCUUACCUUUUUUAGUUAAAAGUUAAGAGACGAAUUCUUAUAUUCC